rnacentral:misc_RNA from 1 species
UUUCCGUAGGUGAACCUGCGGAAGGAUCAUUAUUGUAUAACCGAGGUGCGAGGGCUGUCGCUGACCCGAAAGGUCGUGCACGCCCGAGUGCCCUCACACACAUCCAUCUCACCCCUAUGUGCACCACCGCGUGGGUCCCCCUUUGGCUUGUUCGGAGGGGGGCUUACGUUUUCACACAAACUUUGUAUGCAGUGUAGAAUGUAUUUUUUGUUUUUGCGAUCACGCAAUCAAUACAACUUUCAACAACGGAUCUCUUGGCUCUCGCAUGAUGAAGAACGCAGC